CUUGCUCUUCUUGGAUGAGUUGCGAACGGGUGAGUAACGCGUAGGUAACCUGCCUUGUAGCGGGGGAUAACUAUUGGAAACGAUAGCUAAUACCGCAUAACAAUGGAUGACACAUGUCAUUUAUUUGAAAGGGGCAAUUGCUCCACUACAAGAUGGACCUGCGUUGUAUUAGCUAGUAGGUGAGGUAACGGCUCACCUAGGCGACGAUACAUAGCCGACCUGAGAGGGUGAUCGGCCACACUGGGACUGAGACACGGCCCAGACUCCUACGGGAGGCAGCAGUAGGGAAUCUUCGGCAAUGGGGGCAACCCUGACCGAGCAACGCCGCGUGAGUGAAGAAGGUUUUCGGAUCGUAAAGCUCUGUUGUAAGUCAAGAACGAGUGUGAGAGUGGAAAGUUCACACUGUGACGGUAGCUUACCAGAAAGGGACGGCUAACUACGUGCCAGCAGCCGCGGUAAUACGUAGGUCCCGAGCGUUGUCCGGAUUUAUUGGGCGUAAAGCGAGCGCAGGCGGUUUGAUAAGUCUGAAGUUAAAGGCUGUGGCUCAACCAUAGUUCGCUUUGGAAACUGUCAAACUUGAGUGCAGAAGGGGAGAGUGGAAUUCCAUGUGUAGCGGUGAAAUGCGUAGAUAUAUGGAGGAACACCGGUGGCGAAAGCGGCUCUCUGGUCUGUAACUGACGCUGAGGCUCGAAAGCGUGGGGAGCGAACAGGAUUAGAUACCCUGGUAGUCCACGCCGUAAACGAUGAGUGCUAGGUGUUGGAUCCUUUCCGGGAUUCAGUGCCGCAGCUAACGCAUUAAGCACUCCGCCUGGGGAGUACGACCGCAAGGUUGAAACUCAAAGGAAUUGACGGGGGCCCGCACAAGCGGUGGAGCAUGUGGUUUAAUUCGAAGCAACGCGAAGAACCUUACCAGGUCUUGACAUCCCGAUGCUAUU
rnacentral:rRNA from 1 species